CGCGGCUAAGGUUGAUGGUUUGCUUUCUUUCCAUAGAUAUAUACCCAAGGUACAAGAAUAUUACCCUUAGGACCAACAAAGAAAACCCACCUUCUCAGCAUUCAUGAAAUGGAUCAAAAACUGAGCCACGAGGGGGAGAUAAACUAUUACAACCAUUGAAAAUCCUCUCAGAAAUUUUUGAAAUCUGUCUCUAAGACUAGCCCUGCAGUAGUCAUAAUCUUAAUCAGUAAGAAACAAAUACAACUUACCAUUAACAUGUAGAAGGGAGGCCUUCUAAGAUAUCUGGAUACCCAUAAUAAUUCAGCAUGCUGAAAUUGGAAAAAAAAUAAUCAUAACCUUUAUAAUAUACAUGCACAAUUGCUUUACAAUUUACAUCUCUUCCAACUAAUCAUAUAAAUGAGAUGAAAAAGCAAAAAGGUUUACACACUUUGAUAACUGGGGCAAAAUUAAUUCAACUCCCAGGCUCCAACCAUUUACAGAGUCAAGGGGUUAGAAGGUGUGUGCACAACAGGGACCCUAGACAUGGUCAAAUUCCCCACAAGCACAUUAGAUGCCACAGCAUCUUCCACAACCACAGGGUUAACCUGCAUCACCCUCUCUGGUACAAUCUUGUCACCAUCAACCUUAGCCAGAACCUCAAAAUGCAUCCUGACUGACUCAGGCUUCGUCCUCCACUCGGGAAAGCCCUGCCAAUCAAACCCAUCCCCUUCUUUCAACUUCUUUUCAACCCCAAAUCCUAUCUUCACAAAUGUCUGAGCUGACACAUCUGCCUUUAACAACCUGAAUGAACCUUUCUUAUUUGCCUUGGGACCCAACACAGAUGCCAGCAAUUUCUCAAAACCCAGCAAAUUUGCAUUUGAGCCAUUUACAGAAGCGAGGGGCCACAUUGUAGUGAAAUGUUUAGGAGUUAGGACACUUCCGGCUUCUUCCAAAUCAAGAGGAGAGAGGGCAUCAACGGGCUGUGAUUUUGCAAAUGAUGAUAACUCCACAAGGCCUGGGGCAAGGCGUUUUAGCCUUAGUCUGUUACUGGAAGAAGAAGAUGAUGAUGGAGAUGCUAGGGAGGUAGGACCAACAAUGCGAAGAGAUAGGAGUGGAGCUCCUUGGGUCCUCGAAGCAUGGCGAAGCUGUUCAGCAAGGGCCAGAAGACCAGAGGCAAAACCACUUUGACUUCGGUUGAAGGGCAAUGGGAGAUCAACUGGGUGGCGUAGGCAAACUGAUCUAGCACCCUUAACCGUAACCACUGCACCAUCUGCCAAUACUACUUUCUUCAAGACGCCAGCAUCCACAUCGUGCUGCAUAAUAAUCACAAUUCAUUAGACACAUAAAUAAUGAACAGAAUCAUAAUUGAAUUUUGGUUACAAUAAGAAGCCCGGCACAAUAGCUAUAACUCAUCUAUGAUUAUGGGAUAGGUACAUUAAUGGGAAUCAAAGUGCAAGGCAUCACACCACACCAAUUGCAUGAUCACUUAAAUUAAAAACAGCUACACAAUUCAAUUUUCAAUAUCAAUAAAGGUCAUAAUCCAGUCAUGAUCCCACAACAUUAAAGGUCAUGUUAAAUAGUUUUAAACCAGUAACUCAAAUGGCUGAAAGAUCAUAAGCUUCAGGAUCCUUUUUCACAUCCUUUUUUCACACUUAUCUAAUUAAUAACAUCGUCAAUCCUAAACAUUAGAAUUAUCCCCAUAAUCGUCCCUAAGUUCAAUAAAUGAAAAAUUGAACCAACCCAUCACAAAUAGCACACAGUUCAAGCACGGGUAGGCAUCAUCUUUGUCCAAAAAUCUAGCUACCAAGAAACCAAUCAAUACAAAAUUCAUACAAAAGCAAACAACAUUUUAAAUUAAAUGCAAUCAAAUAAUGCAUCAAAAUUUAAUUUUUAAAUAAAUAAAUACCGGCAACGAAAUGCGCAUAUCCUUAGCAUCCUGAAUCCAGAUCUCCAUGGGUCCAGCAAGCUGAAACGGAGCCAGAACAGGCAACCCAUUAUCCGUCUUUCCACUCUGCUUCACUAAACCAUUCUCAUCACCAGGCCUAACCGGUCCUCCUUCCUCAACUCUGAAAAUCGGCAAAUCCAUAUACUCCCAUCGAUUAACAUCCUCCAACAACUUAAACGGCAUCACCAGGUUAUCAAUUUCAACAUCGAAUUCAUACGCCACCGACCUGCCCACCAACGCAUCUUUAAUAUCAAAUCCCGAAAUCUUAAAAUCAUCCGCCUGGAACCCCAAACCCUUCACAAUCACCUCCUUCAAAUCCGAUAUGGCUUUGGGAUACGGAGGAGAAGUGGCAUCCGGGGAGGAGGGCAGAGUCGUAACUAAGACGAAGAUCAGGGUCUGUAAAUAAAGUGAAACCUUGGGAGCCAUCGCGAU
rnacentral:misc_RNA from 1 species